rnacentral:rRNA from 1 species
UAGAGUUUGAUCCUGGCUCAGGACGAACGCUGGCGGCGUGCUUAACACAUGCAAGUCGAACGAUGAACCUGGAGCUUGCUCUAGGGAAUUAGUGGCGAACGGGUGAGUAACACGUGAGUAACCUGCCCUUGACUCUGGGAUAACCUCCGGAAACGGAAGCUAAUACCGGAUAUGACGCACGGAGGCAUCUCCUGUGCGUGGAAAGAACUUCGGUCAAGGAUGGACUCGCGGCCUAUCAGGUAGUUGGUGAGGUAACGGCUCACCAAGCCUACGACGGGUAGCCGGCCUGAGAGGGUGACCGGCCACACUGGGACUGAGACACGGCCCAGACUCCUACGGGAGGCAGCAGUGGGGAAUAUUGCACAAUGGGCGCAAGCCUGAUGCAGCAACGCCGCGUGAGGGACGACGGCCUUCGGGUUGUAAACCUCUUUUAGUAGGGAAGAAGCGAAAGUGACGGUACCUGCAGAAAAAGCACCGGCUAACUACGUGCCA